ensembl:lncRNA
UUCGGAUUCAGACAGACCUGCAGAGAUUCAUUCUGAUGAUUCAAAGAGAGACGCUCACAGACAAGAAGAUACAUCAUCAAAAGUGUAUUUCAGUUUACACAGCUCCCACAUCAAAUGUUGCACUUCAAAUGUGGUGUAGUUUCUGGAUUAUGCUCACAGAAGGUGGUGGUAAUGUGCAAUAGUUUGUGUGAUCUGCCAAAAGUUGAAAAUUAUGAAGAAGAAAGAUGAAGAAGUUGAUGAAGAAGAAAAAAAUCAAGAAGAAGAAGAUGAUGAUUUGUAUUUUCAAAUUCAUGUAUGUAUUGUAAUUAACUGAUUUCUGAAACUAUAUGUAUGUAUGUCACGGAUAUGUUCAGUUUAGUUCAGUUCCUGUCAUGUCUGUUAUGAGUUCUCAUUAGUUGCCAUGGUUGAUGAUUAGUUAAUCCCUGUCCAGCUGUUCCUGUUUAGUUCCCUCAUUUACCUCAUGUGUAUUUAUACUCCAUAUUCUGUUCUGUCCUUUGUCGGUUAUUAUUUAGUGUUAUGUGUUGUACUAGCUUCUUUGAAGUAUGAAUCCAUGUCUGUAUUCUUCAUUCCUCUACAACCCGUGACAAAAUACAUCAAAAUGCACACUUUAGAAGAACUGUUUUUUUCACCUUGGGGAAUAAGUCAGUCUGUGUAUUUUUGUCCGACUGGUAUAUCCUAACAUUGUGUUAGGGCAAGAGAAAAAAACAAAAACAAAAAAACAUGGAAAGACAUUAAUACACAUCGCUUUUCAAGUUCAAGUCCCCCAGCGUUAAUCUACUCUCCUGUUUGGUUUCUUUGUCAGACAAAAUGUCAGAUUCGGCAUUAUGAUUGGUCGGAUCAGUGUCAAUCUAGCUCCUAGUGAAGGGUCAAUUCUUUGCGAUCUCACAAUGUUCCAUUAUUGUCAAUGACUACACUGCAUAAUGAAACUCAAACACAGCAACAAAGAUGCACUGCUAUCCAGACCUAAAAAGACAUGGCAGAUUACCUGUACAAAAUAACCAGUAAGAAACAGUGACCUUGAGCAAGUACAGACAAGCUCACAGCAGAGAUGGGCAGACACAGGAAAACAUGCUGCUGCAGGAAGAGAGGCUAGGAGAGGCACACUGCCACCAAAACUAAAAUUCCUCACAGAAUGCACAAAAUAAAUGUACACAUAUACACCAGAACUUUGAGUCUCUGUCAAAUGAUGAGGAACUGUUACUAGGGGAAUGUUCAGACAGCACGGUAUGUGUUUGCCUGUCACAAAACAUGAGGGACUGUGAGGGAUCAGCUCCAGUCUGUCUCCUGCAUGCUUUAUUAAUAAUCUUUUGUAUUGUAUUGUAUUACGUAUUGUUUAUUGCGUUACAGUUAUUUUCUUCUACUUGUGUACCUCUUAUAUUCUUAUACUUCAAUUACUGUUUUUGUACUGUUCUUUAUGUUAUUUUGCACUGCUUCUAC